UGCGGGGGGGGUAAGCGUUGUUCGGAAUUACUGGGCGUAAAGGGCUCGUAGGCGGCCAACUAAGUCAGACGUGAAAUCCCUCAGCUUAACUGGGGAACUGCGUCUGAUACUGGAUGGCUUGGAUUCGGGAGAGGAAUGCGGAAUUCCAGGUGUAGCGGUGAAAUGCGUAGAUAUCUGGAGGAACACCGGUGGCGAAGGCGGCAUUCUGGACCGAUAUUGACGCUGAGGAGCGAAAGCCAGGGGAGCAAACGGG
rnacentral:rRNA from 1 species